rnacentral:rRNA from 1 species
UUUGGAUAACUGUGGUAAUCCUAGAGCUAAUACAUGCAAUCAAGUCCCGACCAGUUCUCCUGGGAAGGACGCUUUUAUUAGAUCAAGACCAAUCGCCCGGUUUCGGCCGGGCGUUACCUUGGUGACUCUAGGUAACACAUCAGAUCGCACGGUCUCGCACCGGCGACUCAUCCUUCAAAUGCCUGACUUAUCAACUGUCGAUGGUAGACUCCUUGUCUACCAUGGUGAUAACGGGUAACGGGGAAUCAGGGUUCGAUUCCGGAGAGGGAGCCUGAGAAACGGCUACCACAUCCAAGGAAGGCAGCAGGCACGCAAAUUACCCACUCCCGGCACGGGGAGGUAGUGACAAAAAAUAGCGAUACGGGACUCUUUUGAGGCCCCGUAAUCGGAAUGAGUACACUUUAAAUCCUUUAACAAGGAUCCAUUGGAGGGCAAGUUCGGUGCCAGCAGCCGCGGUAAUUCCGACUCCAAUAGCGUAUAUUAAAGUUGUUGCGGUUAAAAAGCUCGUAGUUGGUUCUGCGUGCCACGCUGUCGGUUCACCGCCUGCCGGUGCUACUGGCAUGCCGUGGCAUGUCCUGUCGGUGGGUGUUCGGGGCCCCGUGCGGGCGGCUUGGGGUCUUCGUGUCUCCUUGUACGCCGGCGGGUCAACUCCGGCUCCCUACUAUCCUACCUAGGUGCUCUUCACCGAGUGUCGAGGUAGGCCGACACGUUUACUUUGAACAAAUCAGAGUGCUCAAAGCAGGCUGAAUAAUUCUGCCUGAAUGAUGGCGCAUGGAAUAAUAAAACAGGACCUUGGUUCUAUUUUGUUGGUUCUUAAGAUCACAAGGUAAUGAUCAAUACGGACAGGCGGGGGCAUUCGUAUUGCGCCGGGAAACCAAAGCUUUUGGGUUCCGGGGGAAGUAUGGUUGCAAAGCUGAAACUUAAAGGAAUUGACGGAAGGGCACCACCAGGAGUGGAGCCUGCGGCUUAAUUUGACUCAACACGGGAAACCUCACCAGGUCAGGACAUUGUCAGGAUUGACAGAUUGAUAGCUCUUUCUUGAUUCAGUGGGUAGUGGUGCAUGGCCGUUCUUAGUUGGUGGAUCGAUUUGUCUGGUUAAUUCCGAUAACGAACGAGACUCUAGCCUAUUAACUAGACGGUUCGGGAGCCUUCGUCUCCCGCGAAAUUAUAUCUUCUUAAGGGGACAGGCGGCUUAUAGUCGCACGAGAUUGAGCAAUAACAGGUCUGUGAUGCCCUUAGAUGUCCUGGGCCGCACGCGCGCUACAAUGAAAGAAUCAGCGUGUAUCUCCCUGCCCGAGAGGGCCGGGUAAUCCGCUGAACCUCUUUCGUGCUUGGGAUUGUAGCUUGCAAUUGUUCUUCAUGAACGAGGAAUUCCCAGUAAGCGCGAGUCAUAAGCUCGCGUUGAUUACGUCCCUGCCCUUUGUACACACCGCCCGUCGCUACUACCGAUUGAAUGAUUUAGUGAGGUCUUCGGACCGGCGGGAAAUCUGUGCGAUUCCGGUCGUAUAGACGAACGCUGGGAAGAUGACCAAACUUGAUCAUUUAGAGGAAGUAAAAGUCGUAACAAGGUUUCC